rnacentral:rRNA from 1 species
CGGCAAUAGCUCAAAUUUGAAAUCUGGUUCUUUCAGAGCCCGAGUUGUAAUUUGUAGAGGAUGUUUCGGGUGCGGAGCCGGCCUAAGUUCCUUGGAACAGGGCGUCAUAGAGGGUGAGAAUCCCGUAUGCAGUCGGCCUCCAACCCCAUAGGAAACUCCUUCGAC